rnacentral:rRNA from 1 species
AAUCAACGCUGGCGGCGUGCCUCAGACAUGCAAGUCGAACGAUUAAACUUUCCCUCGGGGAAGAUAUAGAGUGGCGCACGGGUGAGUAACACGUAAGUAAUCUACCCUUGGGUGGGGAAUAACAUCGGGAAACCGAUGCUAAUACCGCAUAAUGCAGCGGCUUCUUAUGAAGACAGUUGUUAAAGCAUUUAUGUGCCUGAGGAGGAGCUUGCGGCAGAUUAGCAGUUGGUAAGGUAAUGGCUUACCAAGGCGACGAUCUGUAGCCGACCUGAGAGGGUGGUCGGUCACACUGACACUGAAUAACGGGUCAGACUCCUACGGGAGGCAGCAGUCGGGAAUUUUGGGCAAUGGGCGCAAGCCUGACCCAGCAACGCCGCGUGAAGGAUGAAGUA